rnacentral:lncRNA from 1 species
UGGAAGAGGCGAGUAAUGUUAGCAAACCACUACUUUAAUAGAUUCUUCGUCACUUAUGCAAUAGCGGGUAGUUAUUCAGUAGUGAGUAAUGGCAUAGAUUAUGGGUUUAUGCAUGGUAAUGGGUAGUGGCAAAAAUUAUGGGUCUUAUGAUGUUACUACCAUGUUCUGUUUAGUUAUUUAGUUAUUUUCAUGUUUUGUUCUGUUAUUUCCAAAUUCUGAUUUAUACGAGGUUAGUCUUCAUUAUGCUAUUUUAAGUUCCUAUUUUUAGGGGUAGUUAAAACUCCAACUUGUAUUUAAGUUGACAGCAGAUUAAUAAAUUCUGAAAAAUUUUCAAAAAGUCUUUGAGUACUUUAACCUCGAGAGCUUGCAGGUUCUCUCUGAUGGGUAUGAUAGCUUUUCAAAAUAGUUUGCAGAAAGAAAAAUCAAUCCUUGCUCUCCCCUAUCUUGCCAAAAUACUCAUUACACAAACCUAUAACUAGAUCCUACACACAGGAUCCUAACAGAUGUGUGCAACUCGUCAUUUUGUUUUUGAUAAUCAGAUAAAGAUUUUAUUCUCUUGAAGCAUGCUAGUAAUAAAGAAGCAAAUUAUAGGACAGCGAAACUCCUUUUGCCAAUUCUACAAGGCAUCAUUGUUAGCUCUUCAUUGUCUUUGUUCAUAUAAUAUGAAGAAUUUGAAUAUGACAUUAUGUUAAAUUUCAUAUUUUUACUUAAAAUACCAUUUGUUAAUGACAAGUCCUUAAAUGUUUUCCUCCAAUAACCUGCAGGUUCAAGAUAUGGAUCACUUUAUGUCAACGGAAAAGCUAAGAAUGAAGACUUCAUAGCAGCACGACUGACAAAAACAUCAGAUUUAACUGUGUGCUCCCUAUCUGUUACCUCUUUAUACUUUGGAGUUUGGACUCUAUAGCUCUAAGAACUAUAGCCCUGGAAAUUUUUGCUUCAUAUUAAUAUCAUGUUUUACUGGGUAUGCAGUAUGUGCCCAAAGGCCAUGUUUAUGUAUUGGGUGAUAAGUGAUGACAGCUAUAACAGUUAUGAUUCACCUGACUGGUAAGAUUCUCAAGCCCCUCUACUUGCUAUUUGAAGAUUCACCUUUUCACUUGUAAUUAUUUCUUUUUGCUAGGUAACUUAAAAAUCUCUAUCCUUCUCAAAAUUAAAAAAUUUGUCUCCUAGUUUCUUCUCCGCUGCUGAUGCUUAUUGCCCUUGCAUUGUUUUCCUCGGACUUCUGUCUUUUUACAUUGUUAUAUGUUAAAGAACAUCACUGGAAGAUUUGUCAUAUGUUGGCGGAGGCCUUCAAACAUCUGACGCUAUGAUCACACGGGCUAGAGACGCUGGAACUCUCUCACUUCUUCACAGAUAUCAUUAGCAUUUUGCUUGCUGUCCCUAGACCCAACUUACUCAUUGGAUUUAUUUGGUGUCUAUAUGCUUGUGGGUUACACCGCCAGAGAAUAGAAUUUGAUUCUUGGGGAUGUUUGCUAUACAAUAGACUUUUGCAGAUUGUUUGCUGUUUCUCAUUUCUACUGCUCAGUGCUCACUUCUUGUUAGAUAUUAUUGCCAAUAAUAUUUAUUUAUUUUUUGGUAAGAUAAGGGUAAAAAGAGAAAAAAUUUCAACAGCCCAACACCAACCAUGCCAGCCCAAAUGUUGUUCUUGAUUAUUAACCUUUGGGUUUCUGCCCAAAUGUCCGAGCCCAUCUAAGCUAAGUGAUUAGUUAAGCCCAUCUAAGCUAGGCCUAAACAAAAUGGCACCUCCCCAACAGAAUCCAUAUCUUGUACGAUCCCAGCAAAAUUGGUAACCAAGUCAUCAUGAAUUUUUCAAGUUCCC